rnacentral:rRNA from 1 species
CGUAGGGGGCUAGCGUUGUCCGGAUUUAUUGGGCGUAAAGAGCGUGUAGGCGGCCAUGUAGGUCCGGUGUGAAAACUCGAGGCUUAACCUCGAGAUGUCAUCGGAAACCAUUUGGCUAGAGUCCGGAAGAGGAGAGUGGAGUUCCUGGUGUAGCGGUGAAAUGCGCAGAUAUCAGGAAGAACACCAAUGGCGAAAGCAGCUCUCUGGGACGGUACUGACGCUGAGACGCGAAAGCGUGGGGAGCGAACAGGAUUAGAUACCCUGGUAGUCCACGCCGUAAACGAUGGGCGCUAGGUGUGGGCGGUGUCGACUCCGUCCGUGCCGAAGCUAACGCAUUAAGCGCCCCGCCUGGGGAGUACGGCCGCAAGGCUA